GAUGAAGAACGCAGCGAAAUGCGAUACGUAGUGUGAAUUGCAGAAUUCAGUGAAUCAUCGAAUCUUUGAACGCACAUUGCACCUCUCGGUAUUCCGGGAGGUAUGCCUGUUCGAGCGUCAUUUGUACCCUCAAGCUCUGCUUGGUGUUGGGUGUUUGUUCCGCCUCUGUGUGUGAACUCGCCUCAAAACAAUUGGCAGCCGGCGUACUUGUUUCGAAGCGCAGCACAUUUUGCGAUCCAGAUCAACGUACAGCGGCAUCCAAGAAGCCUUAUUUAACGCUCUUGACCUCGGAUCAGGUAGGGAUACCCGCUGAACUUAAGCAUAUCAAUAAGCGGAGGA
rnacentral:misc_RNA from 1 species